AUUAACCAAAAGCUGAACAAAAGUAAUUUCCUGCUAAUGGCCAAAACCCAAAUAAAAUAUCCAUGCUUAGAUACAGUUUAAAAUAUUAUAGAUGAAACUGUAUUUAUCAAAUUGACCUCAAUACUGGUAAAUUACAACAUGUCAAUACUGAACACACAUGGUGUUAAGCAAAUAGAUUUUGGAAAAUCAAAUUGACCUCUCCAGGCACAAUAGAAUGUUCUC
rnacentral:lncRNA from 1 species